GGGUGACCUCAGAUCAGGUAG
rnacentral:rRNA from 2 species